UUUGUUACUUCAAACCAAUCGGACUUCGGUCUGACAUCAAGUGAUAUUGAACAAUUUAGCUGAUCGCACGGUCUAAGAACCGGCGACAUAUCCUUCAAAUGUCUGCCUUAUCAACUUUCGAUGGUAGAUUAUGCGCCUACCAUGGUUGUAACGGGUAACGGAGAAUCAGGGUUUGAUUCCGGAGAGGGAGCCUGAGAAACGGCUACCACAUCCAAGGAAGGCAGCAGGCACGCAAAUUACCCACUCCCGGCACGGGGAGGUAGUGACGAAAAAUAACAAGCUGGUCUCAAUGAGUUCCAGCAUUGUAAUGGGAACAAUUUWAAUCUUUUAUCGAGGAUCUAUUGGAGGGCAUGUCUGGUGCCAGCAGCCSCGUAAUUCCAGCUUCCAAUAGCGUAUAUUAAAGUUGUUGCGGUUAAAAGCUCGUAGUUGGAUCUAGGAUUAGGGCUACGUCGUUCAGCUUGGACGKWCUGUWGCACGACUCCUUUUYYCUAGUAUUCGAUUGUUGCYYCUUAAAUGAGUGACUUUAGUUSSCUGAACUUUUMCCUUGGAAAAUUUGAAGUGCUCAAAGCCRGUUWU
rnacentral:rRNA from 1 species